CUGUGUGUCUUUGUGUGUUUGUCUCUGUAUGUUGCACACUGCUGUUUGCUGGUCAACCCACACCCGUAGAUCCGAUCUUGUGUGUAAACUUCACUCGCAAGCUUGUGUCUGUGGGUCUGUGUCGACAUGGCAGCAUCACCGCUGAGGAGGAGUAGUGUGAAAGGGGUGGGGAGCGGGUGGACGAAAGAUCCGCCCCGUCAGGAAGAAUCAUCAGUAAUUUGCAUAGCCUAAGUGUCUCCCUGCACUAGCAAAUGUGAAAACCAUUUCAACCAGAAGGUACAGUCAGUAACUAUACGGUUAGUAGUAUCAGGUUCUGCAUAGGAUAUUUUUAAUUAUUAAAUAAUUUUAAAAAUAGACCUGGAUUAGCAGAAUGUAAUUCCUACCAAGCUAGAAAGCCUCCAUUUUGCCAAAAAUUGAAUUUGUGUCCUAGUUAAGCUUUUCAGUAAAGAGUUUAAGCAACCAGGAAGCACCGCAUUGUCCUGUUUUCUGAAGAGACCAUGACCUGCAAGCUUAACAUUAUUUCAUUGCUGAUACAGCAUGUUGUUGCAUCCUGAUUUAUGAAAUAUCCACAAAUCAGUGUUUGUUUGUGUGUGCUAGUUUUAUUUUUAUACUGGUGGCAAACCAUCCAUCAUUUAUUUAUGUGUUCACUGGGAAAUAAUAAAAAAAACAUGAUCUGAUGUUCUCCUUCCCAGGACAACUGGAACUUUCUUUAAAGUGGAUGCUCAGUUUCCCAGGGGCAUGCUUUUUCACAGAAAAAUGAUGACAGAUGAAUUCGACUAUCUUGGCCAUGCUUUAUAUGAAGAGCCACAAGAAAAUUACCCAACAUACUGAUUAAGACUCUGGCUGCCGGUGUCACUUUCCAAGUGCCUGUAUAUUCACUUUUGAAUCACUAAUGGAGCAAGAAUUUUUGAAACUUGAGACAGAGACAUGCAACACACACUUCAGCAGGAAGGGGAAGUUUGGACUGGGGCACCUUAAUUCAUCACAUAAAGAUCGACAUACCCCAUCUUUACAGUAUCUUCACUUACUGGUCCACCUGCCACUGUUUCCAGGUUCCGAUCAUUCUUUUCAAGUAAAGGCUUAAUCAGUAAGUUUCAUCCUAUUGUCGCCAUUUCGUAAUUCCUGUAAGUAAUAUGUUAAACAAAUAUAACUGGUAAGUGCUUACAUCUCAAGAGAAAAUGUUUGUAACUACUUUUUAUAAAACAAUUUGAUUUAGUUUUCCUUGCUGUAGUCAGAAGUAAAAGGCAAACAAAAAAAGUUUGUGUUCGGGGCUGCUUGUGGCCAUUGUCCGUAGUGCUGAAAUUUCACAUACACAACAGUCUGUUCUCACUCUUUCAAAAAUGAACAUUCUGUUAGACAACAGAAGUUGAAGGACACAAUUUGCUGAUGUUUCUCAGAGUAAGGCAUUAACUCAAUGUCCGAGCUCAAUAUUAUAACCCUGAACUUCUAACUUGUAAUAUUCCAGUUAUGCUCAGUACUGCUCAUUUUACUUCCAGCCUGUGAUUAGGGUGGUAUUGUUUCAGAUCAGGAAUUAUGGCAGUCCAGUCCCUUACUUACACUUUUAAGGUUGAUUAUGAAUCUUUUGCUUUAGAUUUAUUAUUAUUUUUACUAUUAUUAUUAUUUUCAGAGCCCCUUCAUUCAUUACAUAAAGGCGACAUACCCCACCUUUACCGUAUCUUCACUGUUCUGUCCACCUGUUGUUGUUUAUUUCAUUUUAGUACUUUUUCAAAAUAUUUUUUUGUAAUUGGAUGCUUAAUAUAAAAAAAUCAAUCACUUCAGAUAAUUCAAUAUGACUUAAUGUACUAUUUUAUGUAGUCAGGGAAGUGCUGUGCAAGCAUAUAUUUGCGCAAGAUAAAAAUGAAUAUGGAUUAUUUUCACACUGAAAAAAUAAAAAGUCAGUGGCACUCAGUUUUGUCUGUAUAGCCUUCACAUUGAUCACCUUAUUAAUGUUAUACAGACAAAAAUAUUGCGUCUCAAUCCAUUUUUUUAUUGUAUAUGUAGUGCAUUCUAUCCUUGGUAGCUGUUCAGGCUUUUGAGAAGAUAAAGUAAUGAACAAUCACUAAGAAUGUGUCUGAUUUGAAUCCAAAGAAUGUCACUAUACAUAACUUAAUAACCCUGAAUGGUGGUUUCACCAUUUAAUUGUGCAAGAAACACCAACUCAGAAACUUUCUUUCAAAUUGGUCUUACAGUCUGGAAAGAUUUUUUCACUUGGUUUUUGUAUUGCAUAUUUACUUUUAGCUGAUGAUAAUUUUAUCUUAAUAAAUUACAUGCUCCCAUUUAUUGGUCUGGUGAAUUGUGCUGUAUUUGGUUUUGUGUAUAUUUUAGCAUAUUUUCAACAAAUUAGCCUCCCUUUUUAGAUUUAAUGUCCUCUGCGUUUUCUCUUCUCUUUGUUCUUAGCUUUAUUAUAAUUUAUUUCACUGGUGCCAUUAUUCUUAUAAGACUGGGCUACAUUGAAGUGCAUUAUGAAGUUGUAUAAUAUGACAUCUACAAAAUCAGCAACUGUUUUUGUAAGUGACACCCUACAGCCGAUGUCAUAUUUCAUGAUUUUUAGUCAGGAAGGAUGUCAACCUUGAAGGCAGGAGUCAUGUCACAUUACAUGACUUUUAGUCAAAGAGGAUGUCAAGCUUGAUGACAGCAGUCAUGUCACAUUACAUGAGUUUUCCAGUGAUUUUCAGUCACAAACAUCCAUUACUUUGUCUUAGCAAGUCUGAGGCUCUUCCCGUGACCACCAGUCAUAUAGUCUGAUAUGCCCAGAGACUCUGUGAGUUUUCCUGACAAAAGUGAUUUUGUCUUAAAUCAUAGGAAUGAGCUUGUGUGUAUGCACCAACGUGGAAUAAGGAACGUGGGUAUUUUGGACAUAUAGAAGAGAAGCUUGUCUAUCUGAUGUUUUAUGUUUUACAUACCACAACAGAAUGGAAAAAAGAAUAAAGGACAAACAUUUCACUAAAAUUUGUCAUACCUGGAAAUCAUUCAUACAACACCAGCUCUGUCAGGCAACAUGUCAUUGGCUAUUAGAAAAAACGGUGAGCUUAUGAUACUUUGGAAAUGUGAAACUGUGCUGGAAAGUUGUCACAGAGUCAUCUCCUACAAUUUCUAGUCGUGAAAAUUGACAUACUCGGGCAACAAGACCAGCAAAGGCAGUCGUCAAGUUUGACAUUCCCCUGCUCCGGCUAGAAGUUGUGUAAUGUGACGCUGACUUAUGAUUUCACAUUAGAUACUCUCAUGAGAGUAAUCAAUCUAAACGCCUACAAAUCUAU